AACGCUGGCGGCGUGCUUAACACAUGCAAGUCGAACGGAAAGGCCCUGCUUUUGUGGGGUGCUCGAGUGGCGAACGGGUGAGUAACACGUGAGUAACCUGCCCUUGACUUUGGGAUAACUUCAGGAAACUGGGGCUAAUACCGGAUAGGAGCUCCUGCUGCAUGGUGGGGGGUUGGAAAGUUUCGGCGGUUGGGGAUGGACUCGCGGCUUAUCAGCUUGUUGGUGGGGUAGUGGCUUACCAAGGCUUUGACGGGUAGCCGGCCUGAGAGGGUGACCGGCCACAUUGGGACUGAGAUACGGCCUAGACUCCUACGGGAGGCAGCAGUGGGGAAUAUUGCACAAUGGGCGGAAGCCUGAUGCAGCAACGCCGCGUGCGGGAUGACGGCCUUCGGGUUGUAAACCGCUUUCGCCUGUGACGAAGCGUGAGUGACGGUAAUGGGUAAAGAAGCACCGGCUAACUACGUGCCAGCAGCCGCGGUGAUACGUAGGGUGCGAGCGUUGUCCGGAUUUAUUGGGCGUAAAGGGCUCGUAGGUGGUUGAUCGCGUCGGAAGUGUAAUCUUGGGGCUUAACCCUGAGCGUGCUUUCGAUACGGGUUGACUUGAGGAAGGUAGGGGAGAAUGGAAUUCCUGGUGGAGCGGUGGAAUGCGCAGAUAUCAGGAGGAACACCAGUGGCGAAGGCGGUUCUCUGGGCCUUUCCUGACGCUGAGGAGCGAAAGCGUGGGGAGCGAACAGGCUUAGAUACCCUGGUAGUCCACGCUGUAAACGGUGGGUACUAGGUGUGGGGUCCAUUCCACGGAUUCCGUGCCGUAGCUAACGCUUUAAGUACCCCGCCUGGGGAGUACGGCCGCAAGGCUAAAACUCAAAGGAAUUGUCGGGGCCCCGCACAAGCGGCGGAGCAUGCGGAUUAAUUCGAUGCAACGCGUAGAACCUUACCUGGGUUUGACAUGGAUCGGGAGUGCUCAGAGAUGGGUGUGCCUCUUUUGGGGUCGGUUCACAGGUGGUGCAUGGCUGUCGUCAGCUCGUGUCGUGAGAUGUUGGGUUAAGUCCCGCAACGAGCGCAACCCUUGUUCACUGUUGCCAGCACGUUAUGGUGGGGACUCAGUGGAGACCGCCGGGGUCAACUCGGAGGAAGGUGGGGAUGACGUCAAGUCAUCAUGCCCCUUAUGUCCAGGGCUUCACGCAUGCUACAAUGGCUGGUACAGAGAGUGGCGAGCCUGUGAGGGUGAGCGAAUCUCGGAAAGCCGGUCUCAGUUCGGAUUGGGGUCUGCAACUCGACCUCAUGAAGUCGGAGUCGCUAGUAAUCGCAGAUCAGCAACGCUGCGGUGAAUACGUUCCCGGGGCUUGUACACACCGCCCGUCAAGUCAUGAAAGUUGGUAACACCCGAAGCCGGUGGCCUAACCGUUGUGGGGGAGCCGUCGAAGGUGGGACUGGUGAUUAGGACU
rnacentral:rRNA from 1 species